UGGGGAAUAUUGCGCAAUGGGGGAAACCCUGACGCAGCGACGCCGCGUGCGGGAGGAAGGCCCUCGGGCCGCAGACCGCUUUCGGCGGGGACGAAUCACGACGGUACCCGCGGAAGAAGCCCCGGCUAACUACGUGCC
rnacentral:rRNA from 1 species